GCCCGCCUAGCUCAAUCGGAUAGAGCGUCAGACUCUUACAGGUCUGUAGUUACGAGGCACAUUUGAAUCUGAAGGCUGCGAGUUCGACCCUCGCGGUGGGCU